UUAAAAAGCUCGUAGUUGAAUUUCGGGAUUGACACAUCGGUCGUGCCUUAAGGGGUAUGAACUGGUGUAGUCAAUUUCUCACCUUCUGGAGAACCGCGAUGCCCUUAAUUGGGUGUCGCGGGGAACCAGGACCUUUACUUUGAAAAAAUUAGAGUGUUUAAAGCAGGCAUUUUGCUUGAAUACAUUAGCAUGGAAUAAUAAAAUAGGACGGCAUGAUUCUAUUUUGUUGGUUUCUAGGAUCACCGUAAUGAUUAAUAGGGAUAGUUGGGGG
rnacentral:rRNA from 1 species